CGCACCUUGCGCUCCUUGGUAUUCCGAGGAGCAUGCCUGUUCGAGUGUCAUGAAAAUCUCAACUACAUAAUAUGUAGCUUGGAUCUGGAGCUUGUCGGUCCGUCCGACUGCUCUGAAAUGCAUUAGCCACGGUUGAACUCACCGAGACUCGGCGUCAUAACUUCAAUGCGCUGCCAACGGUAGAAAGACGCGGCUUAACAAUACCAACAUUCAUUCUAUUUGACCUCGAAUCAGGUAGGACUACCCGCUGAACUUAA
rnacentral:misc_RNA from 1 species